rnacentral:rRNA from 1 species
UGGGGAAUUUUGCACAAUGGGGGAAACCCUGAUGCAGCGACGCCGCGUGAUUUAGAAGGCCUUCGGGUUGUAAAAAUCUUUUCUAUGGGAAGAAAAUGACAGUACCAUAGGAAUAAGGACCGGCUAAUUACGUGCCAGCAGCCGCGGUAAUACGUAAGGUCCGAGCGUUGUACGGAAUCAUUGGGCGUAAAGGGUACGUAGGCGGGUAAGCAAGUUAGCAGUGAAAUCCUAUAGCUCAACUAUAGUAAGCUUUUAAAACUGCUCAUCUUGAGGUAUGGAAGGGAAAGUGGAAUUCCUAGCGUAGCGGUGAAAUGCGCAGAUAUUAGGAGGAAUACCGGUGGCGAAGGCGACUUUCUGGCCAUAACCUGACGCUGAGGUACGAAAGCGUGGGUAGCAAACAGG